GAUGAACGCUAGCGGCAGGCCUAAUACAUGCAAGUCGGACGGGAUUGAGGAGCUUGCUUCUCAUGAGAGUGGCGCACGGGUGCGUAACACGUAUGUAACCUACCUUAGUCAGGGGGAUAGCCUCUCGAAAGAGAGAUUAACACCGCAUAACAUUAUGAUAUGGCAUCAUAUUAUAAUCAAAUAUUUAUAGGACUAAGAUGGGCAUGCGGAACAUUAGCUAGUUGGUAAGGUAACGGCUUACCAAGGCUACGAUGUUUAGGGGAUCUGAGAGGACGACCCCCCACACUGGUACUGAGACACGGACCAGACUCCUACGGGAGGCAGCAGUAAGGAAUAUUGGGCAAUGGACGCAAGUCUGAACCAGCCAUGCCGCGUGCAGGAAGACGGCCCUACGGGUUGUAAACUGCUUUUGUACCGGAAUAAACCUUUGUAUGUAUACGAAGCUGAAUGUACGGUAAGAAUAAGGAUCGGCUAACUCCGUGCCAGCAGCCGCCGUAA
rnacentral:rRNA from 1 species